GCAACAACAACAGCCGCAGGAAACACAACCUCAGAACAAAGUGCAACAACUCCAGGUAGUUGGAUCAGGUUCAUCCUUGUUCUUGUGGGUGUAGCAGCGCUCUCACUGAUUGUUGUGUCAGUCAACAUCUGGACCAGAACAAAAGGUUGCAAAACACACUGUGGCAAGAAGCAGCACAAUAAUGAAGACGAUUAUGUGGUGACGUAUGAAAAUACUGAAGACGUUUCUGCUUCUGUUAGAUUCCACAGAUCAACUAAUCAGCUCUGAAGAUUUUUCUUAACUGCAGGAAUUUCAAACACAAAAGCUGGAUUUUAACAUUGUUUAUCAGGGGGAAAAAAGUUUGUCUUUAUUCUAUCAGUAAAGACAAUAGAAAGAAUAAAGUAUCAGCACAAUCAUUUCACCGUGUUCUUAUUUUGUUUUGAUAAGUUGUUUGUGUAAUGUUAUUUUUUAUCUUUUGUUGAACUCACUAUAAUUUUCUUUGCUUUGGUUUCGUUGUUGCUUCUCAGGAGUUUUUUUGUGUUUAAAUGAAAUAUGAGCUUUUAUUCUUUCAUUUUCUUUGUUCAAUAUCUUUAUUUUUAUCAUCUUAAAAUAAUUCUAUAGUUAUAUUUAGAGCUGGUUGAAAGAUUUUGCUUAUCUCAGUCCUAUUUUUAUUACCAAUAAAACUCACUGUAAUUUACUCAGAUUUGGGUUUGUUGUUGUUGUUGUUGUUGUUUUUGUUGCUGUUUGUCAGGAGUUUGAAUCAGACUUCAACUGGAAGUUUUUGAUUUCUUUCUGUCAUUGCAACUGAUAAUAUAAUAAAUGUAAAUAAACAUGUAAGAUUCAAA